rnacentral:rRNA from 1 species
UACAGAGGGGGCAAGCGUUGUUCGGAAUUACUGGGCGUAAAGCGCACGUAGGCGGAUUGGUCAGUUAGGGGUGAAAUCCUGGAGCUCAACUCCAGAACUGCCUUUAAUACUGCCAGUCUCGAGUCCGGAAGAGGUAAGUGGAACUCCUAGUGUAGAGGUGGAAUUCGUAGAUAUUCGGAAGAACACCAGUGGCGAAGGCGGCUCACUGGACCGGCAUUGACGCUGAGGUGCGAAAGCGUGGGGAGCAAACAGG